AAUAAAAUUCUUCCUGUUUGCAGCCCUGUUUGCGGUUGGUGGCAGCGAUGGACACUGCAGCCAGCCAUAGCGUAUAAAGGCGUCGGGUCAAAGAAGAUGGCCACGGAGACAGCAGUGUGGUCAGAGUGGUAGGAGCCAGCCAUCAGCGAGAGCUGCUCCGUGCCUGGCUGCUGGGUGCUAGAGCCUGCAGCCCACUGGCUCGUCUCACUGUGAUUGGUGGUGGCAGUGACAAAGACUGCAGCACGACCAGAGUGGCUUUUCUGGCUUUUCCCACCCAGCUGCUCCAUGCCAGGAGGAGGAGGAGACACCUAGAGCCUGCGACACCACGGCUCGCCUCGCUGCUGGUGGGUGGCAGCGACGGAGACUGUAGUGUGCCGGAGCAGUAGGAGAGCGGCCGUGCUAGGAAGGCAGGCGGCUGCAGCCAGGGUUGGGGGUCAGGCUUACAGCGAUGGACGGGCUGCAGCAGUGGCCAGGUGUAGGAUCCUUGUAGGGAGGGCUGGUGCAUUGGCAAUGGGCCUGGCCUUGCCUUGCCCCUGCCGUGGAUCUGGCCCUGUACUGCCCUGCCUUGCCCUGUACCUGCCCUACUGUUACCUGGACUGUCUCGGCCCUGUCCUGUUCUGGUCCCAUCCUGACCCUGUCUUGGCCCUGUGCUACCCUGUCCCUGCCCUGGUCUUGCCUUGGCACUGGCCCUGCCCUGAACCUGCACUGGCCUGGGCUUGGCUCUGGCCCUGCCCCUUGUCCUGACCCUGGUCCUGUCAUGGCACUGGCCCUGCCAAUGGUCAUGGUCCUGCUCCUGUUCUGGCCCUGACCUGGCCUUGGACAUAUUCUGGCCCUGCUUUGGCCCAUCCCUGCCCUGGCCCCACCAUGGGCCUGCCUGUUCUGCCCUCUCCUGGCACUGACCUUGCCCUGUCAUGGCCCAGUGGUGCCAUUGCCCUGCCUUACCCUGCACUGGUUGUGCCUUGGCCCUGCUUGGUGCUAGCUGCUUCCUGGACCUGCCCUGACCCUGCCUUGGCUUUUGCCCUGCCUUCACUAUGGCCUGGCCCUGGCUCUAGCCCUGGUCCUGCCAUAUCCCUAGCCCUGCUCUUAUCCAGGCCCUGCCCCUGCUGCUGCCCUGGCCCUGGCCUGGAACCUGGUCCUGUCAAGGACCUGCCCUGACUCUGCCAUGGCCCUG